rnacentral:rRNA from 1 species
AUUGAACGCUGGCGGCAGGCCUAACACAUGCAAGUCGAGCGGAUGAACGGAGCUUGCUCUCGGCUUCCGCUACCGACGGACGAGUAAUGCAUAGGUAUCUGCCUGGUCUUUGGGGAUGACGUAAGUACACGGGACCUAAUACCACAUCCGAUAUGAUGUUGAAAGUGAUGGUUCUAUAGACAAAGCGCUAUUAGAUGUGCCUAGGUCGGAUUUGCUCGGUGGGUUGGUAAAUGCCUACCAAGGCGACGUACCGUAACUGGACUGAGAGGAGGAUCAGUCACACGGGAACUGAGACACGGUCCAGACUCCUACGGGAGGCAGCAGUGGGGAAUUUUGGACAAUGGGCGGAAGCCUGAUCGAGCCAUGCCGGGUGUGGUAAUAAGGUCUUCGGAUUGUAAAACACUUGUAGUUGGGAGGAAGGAAAGUUAUUUGAUACCUUGCUGUUCUGACGGGACCAAAAGAAUAAGCCCCGGCUAACUUCGUG